rnacentral:tRNA from 1 species
UGGUCAGUAGCUCAGUGGUAGAGCCCUCGGCUGUUAACCGAGUUGUCGUAGGUUCGACCCCUACCUGACCAGCCA